AAUUAAGGGCACUGGUCUCAUGCCUGAUCAUCGAUAACACUGGAUCUUCGUUAGUGUGUAACUUUCAGAUGCAGUGUUUCUAAGAUGCAGGUUAUACGU